rnacentral:rRNA from 1 species
UACAGAGGUCUCGAGCGUUAGGCGGAAUCACUGGGCUUAAAGCGUGUGUAGGUGGUUGCCUAAGUACCUUGUGAAAUCCCACAGCUUAACUGUGGAACUGCUUGGUAUACUGGGUGUCUUGAGUCACUCAGGGGCGAGCGGAACAAAUGGUGGAGCGGUGAAAUGCGUAGAUAUCAUUUGGAACGCCAAUGGUGAAAACAGCUCGCUGGGGGUGCACUGACACUGAGACACGAAAGCCAGGGGAGCGAACGGG